UGUAAUUUUCGUGUGUAGAAGUAGAACCCACUACACUAGCCACUAAUAUCAGGUUGCCAAGAAGCUCUAAAGAACAAUCGUCAUUAGGAAUGUGCCUUAAUAAUACUAUUAUGAAAAUCUCCCUUCCUGUUAUUAAUUAGUCACAGAUUUGAGUUAUCUUCAGUGGUCACCACAUUUUAAAGCAACAGCUCAAAGA